rnacentral:rRNA from 1 species
GAUGAACGCUGGCGGCGUGCCUAAUACAUGCAAGUCGAGCGAACAGACGAGGAGCUUGCUCCUCUGACGUUAGCGGCGGACGGGUGAGUAACACGUGGAUAACCUACCUAUAAGACUGGGAUAACUUCGGGAAACCGGAGCUAAUACCGGAUAAUAUAUUGAACCGCAUGGUUCAAUAGUGAAAGACGGUUUUGCUGUCACUUAUAGAUGGAUCCGCGCCGCAUUAGCUAGUUGGUAAGGUAACGGCUUACCAAGGCAACGAUGCGUAGCCGACCUGAGAGGGUGAUCGGCCACACUGGAACUGAGACACGGUCCAGACUCCUACGGGAGGCAGCAGUAGGGAAUCUUCAGCAAUGGGCGAAAGCCUGACGGAGCAACGCCGCGUGAGUGAUGAAGGUCCUCGGAUCGUAAAACUCUGUUAUUAGGGAAGAACAAAUGUGUAAGUAACUAUGCACGUCUUGACGGUACCUAAUCAGAAAGCCACGGCUAACUACGUG